AAGAAUGAGCAACAGGAACCGCAUUAAAAACUUGGAGUGAUCUCGCAACUGCUGUAGGUCGAGUAAUUUGUGAAAACAGCAAAGAAAAGUGCAAUAAAGAUAUUAUUUUAGGAAAAAAAUCUAACCUUGAAGGGUAAACAAAUCAUGCUCCACAUGUGACACCAUUGUUGUUUGAUAUUUAUAUGAGUUGCAGCAAAUCAAUUUACAACCUUAUUUUUCAAGAAACAAUUUGCCACUAGAAUGUUAAAACAAAAAAGGUAUCACUAAAGAUGAAAUAAAAACAAAUAUAUAGAUCAACGAUAAAUCCAUUUAAAUAAGCCUCUAUUAUUAAAUGAUGAAAGAUCCAGUUAGUGCACGUGGUACCACAGACCAUCUAAUCUUUAUUCACCUGAAAAUACAAAUUAUUAUUAAUAUUAUCAUGAAUUAUUUUUAUU
rnacentral:lncRNA from 1 species